rnacentral:rRNA from 1 species
ACAGUCAUAUCACGUUGAAACAUUGGUUCCCGUAUGAUUACCGACGUUAAGCAACGUCGAGCCUGGAUAGUACUUAGAUGAGUGACCACUUGGGAAUUACAGGUGCUGUAAG